AAUAUAACUUUGUUGUGCUACGCCGCGCUGGUCUGAAGGCUUCAUAGUGGUGACGCACCAUGGCCAAUCUUUUUCUAUCUCCCAACUCUUAUUCUCCUACUUUGAUUCAAAACCCUAAUCUCUCUUCUCUUGAAAUCAAAAUAAAUCCACUCCACUAUCCUUUCCGAACCCUACGACAUCAUCACACCCCCUUGAUUUGUGCAUUAAAGGAAGAUUCCAACCCUGAAACAAUCCAAGAUGGCGAGGUGAAAAAUUUAGGAGUCAAAGUUGCGCUGUCCAUGUUGAGAUUCUACAAGAGGGAAAUUUCACCAAUUUUGCCUAAGAGCUGUCGCUAUGUUCCUACAUGCAGUGAAUAUUCCAUGGAGGCUUAUAAUAGAUAUGGAGUUGUGAAGGGUACAGUUUUGACUGCGUGGCGUCUCUGUCGAUGCAAUCCCCUUGGUGGGCAUGGUUAUGAUCCACCUAGAUGGUUUGGUGAGCCUCGUCUACCGGAAGAUGUUGACGACUGAUUGACAUGAAUAACUGAUUUUAAGUUCUUCUCGCAGAGUGCUCCUCACUUCCUCCCUUAGUAUCUGAUUUUGUGGCUGUGUGGUUGUGUAAUGUUUAGUGCAACAGUAUAGAUCUUAUUCUUCUCAGAGAGUUAACAUCAAGCUUUGGGCGUCCAGGUGCCUAAGCGUUCGUGGUGUCAAGGGCUAUACUUUGAACCGAUUAGUUUCUCCGUUUUGUACCGAUCCUGUGAACGUGUCGCCGUACUAGGGAUACUGUUAGAGCGUCUUCAAUCAACUUACUGUUGAUUUUUCCAAGUAAGGAGAGCUAGAUGUUGAGGAGAUUCCCCUAGAGCAAGAGCUUGAGGACACUGAUGCAACAACUUAGCUUAUUUAGGAAUUCUACCUUACUUUUUGUAUUUUGAGAUACUUUGAAGUUUGAAUUCCCUAGGAGUCUCUCAGUUUGUUCUUGUCAUUUUGAAAAAAAAUGUAUUAUACUUAGAGUUUUAAAUUCGGAUGAUGUCUAAGGAUGACUAUAAUCCUAAUUAUUUA